GACAGAGGCCUCAAGCGUUGGGCGGAAUCACUGGGCUUAAAGCGUGUGUAGGCGGAUCGUUAAGUGUCUUGUGAAAUCCCACGGCUCACCCGUGGAACGGCUGGGCAUACUGGCGAUCUUGGGCCAACUAGGGGCAACUGGAACAAGCGGUGGAGCGGUGAAAUGCGUAGAUAUCGCUUGGAACGCCAAAGGUGAAAACAGGUUGCUGGGGUUGUGCCGACGCUGAGACACGAAAGCCAGGGGAGCAAACGGG
rnacentral:rRNA from 1 species